AGGCUGAGCACUGUUGUUCGGGCACUGGCUCACAUUUAGGCUCUGUGGAUGGAGGAUGCCAUGGGCGGAGGAUUCCAGUGGGUCAGGAAAGAAGACAGGAACCCAGUAAAAACUCAGGAAUACAAACAAGGCACGGCAUCAAGACGUGCAAACUGGGAGAAUGAGUGAAACAGGCAGGGUGGAGAAGAGGAGGCCUCCAAUGAGAAGGCAUCCAAUUAGGUGUCCAAUGAGAGGGACUUCAUGGCAGGCAUGCCCCCACUCCCUCUGUGUCUGUGGCAGACAAAGCUAGCUGAUCUGUGCCUGCUCUCCUGCUACUGGCUGAGCUCAGAGAGCUCCUCAGUAGCCCAGAAAUAUACUGUAGGCCUGCGAGCACCUUCUUCCUGCAUCCAGGCCAGACACUGCUAAUCAAUCGUAGCACUCAUGUCACCACUUUCCUAUACUGCAUCCAUGGCAGACAUCACCAAUCGAUUAGGUCACUCUUCCCAGCUACGUAUCCAUUCUUCAGAAUCCUUCAGAGCACAGGGCUCCAGGCAGCCACUACCAACUGACUGUGGCUGAUGAAUGAGAUGAAAACUCUGCCAUCCCUGUGGAAAGUUCUUGGACUGGGGAAGAGGGCGAGGCCACUGGGAGGUCAGGGAGGGUUUCAGCAGGAGGAAGGAUGUGAGCAGUGUGGACAGGCAGAGAGGAGUCAGGGAGGAGGACCGUCUCGGCAGGGGUGGGAUGCAGUGUGGGAUGCAGCAGUAGCUGUCUGAGAAGAGAAGCCAUGAGGAUGAUGGAGAAGCUGAAAACCCAGGCUGGGGCCGACCCAUGGACUGCAGGGUGCAAGGGAGG